CUGGGGCUGUAGAAGGUCCCAAGGGUCCGGCUGUUCGCCGGUUAAAGAGGUACGCGAGCUGGGUUCAAAACGUCGCAAGACAGUUUGGUCCUUAUCCACUGCAGGCGCAGGACAUUUGAUGAGAGCAUUCCUUAGUACGAGAGGACCGGGAAUGACCGACCGCUGGUAUUCCAAUUGUCUCUAAAGAGGCAGCGUUGGGUAGCUAUGUCGGGAAAGGAUAAGCGCUGAAAGCAUCUAAGCGCCAAGCCCCCUCAAAGAUGAUAUGUCCCGGACCGUAAGGUCCCUGAAGGCGGGUCGUAGACUACGACCUUGAUAGGAUAGAAGUGUAAGAACAGCAAUGUUUUCAGCUUACUAUUACUAAUACGCCGUGAGGCUUGACCAC
rnacentral:rRNA from 1 species